rnacentral:rRNA from 1 species
UGGGGAAUAUUGGACAAUGGGGGGAACCCUGAUCCAGCCAUGCCGCGUGUGUGAAGAAGGCCUUAUGGUUGUAAAGCACUUUAAGCGAGGAGGAGGGUACUGGUAUUAAUACUACCAGGUACUGGACGUUACUCGCAGAAUAAGCACCGGCUAACUCUGUGCCAGCAGCCGCGGUAAUACAGAGGGUGCGAGCGUUAAUCGGAUUUACUGGGCGUAAAGCGUGCGUAGGCGGCUAAUUGAGUCGGAUGUGAAAUCCCCGAGCUUAACUUGGGAAUUGCAUUCGAUACUGGUUAGCUAGAGUGUGGGAGAGGAUGGUAGAAUUCCAGGUGUAGCGGUGAAAUGCGUAGAGAUCUGGAGGAAUACCGAUGGCGAAGGCAGCCAUCUGGCCUAACACUGACGCUGAGGUACGAAAGAAUGGGGAGCAAACAGG